rnacentral:rRNA from 1 species
UUCCACUGAGAAGAUAGUGGCGAACGGGUGAGUAACACGUGGGUAACCUGCCCAUAAGAGGGGGGAUAACAUCCGGAAACGGGUGCUAAUACCGCAUAGUUUUCUUGAUCGCAUGAUUGAGAAAGGAAAGACGGCCUUUGUGCUGUCGCUUAUGGAUGGACCCGCGGCGUAUUAGUUAGUUGGUGAGGUAACGGCUCACCAAGACGAUGAUACGUAGCCGACCUGAGAGGGUGAUCGGCCACAUUGGGACUGAGACACGGCCCAAACUCCUACGGGAGGCAGCAGUAGGGAAUCUUCCGCAAUGGACGAAAGUCUGACGGAGCAACGCCGCGUGAGUGAAGAAAAGGUUUUUCGGAUCGUAAAACUCUGUUGUCAGAGAAGAACAAGUUGGAGAGUAACUGCUCCAGCCUUGACGGUAUCUGACCAGAAAGCCACGGCUAACUACGUGCCAGCCGCCGC